GCGCUCGUAGCUCAGCUGGAUAGAGCACAAGACUACGAAUCUUGGGGUCGGGAGUUCGAAUCUCUCCGAGCGCGCCA
rnacentral:tRNA from 2 species